UACGAAGGGGGCUAGCGUUGUUCGGAAUUACUGGGCGUAAAGCGCGCGCAGGCGGUUCUCCAAGUCAGGGGUGAAAGCCCGGGGCUCAACUCCGGAACUGCCAUUGAAACUGUUGAACUUGAGGACGGGAGAGGUGAGUGGAAUUCCCAGUGUAGAGGUGAAAUUCGUAGAUAUUGGGAAGAACACCAGUGGCGAAGGCGGCUCACUGGCUCGUAUCUGACGCUCAGGCGCGAUAGCGUGGGGAUCAAACAGG
rnacentral:rRNA from 1 species